rnacentral:rRNA from 1 species
GGUUAAGCGACUAAGCGUACACGGUGGAUGCCCUGGCAGUCAGAGGCGAUGAAGGACGUGCUAAUCUGCGAUAAGCGUCGGUAAGGUGAUAUGAACCGUUAUAACCGGCGAUUUCCGAAUGGGGAAACCCAGUGUGAUUCGUCACACUAUCAUUAACUGAAUCCAUAGGUUAAUGAGGCGAACCGGGGGAACUGAAACAUCUAAGUACCCCGAGGAAAAGAAAUCAACCGAGAUUCCCCCAGUAGCGGCGAGCGAACGGGGAGGAGCCCAGAGCCUGAAUCAGUGUGUGUGUUAGUGGAAGCGUCUGGAAAGGCGCGCGAUACAGGGUGACAGCCCCGUACACAAAAAUGCACAUGCUGUGAGCUCGAUGAGUAGGGCGGGACACGUGGUAUCCUGUCUGAAUAUGGGGGGACCAUCCUCCAAGGCUAAAUACUCCUGACUGACCGAUAGUGAACCAGUACCGUGAGGGAAAGGCGAAAAGAACCCCGGCGAGGGGAGUGAAAAAGAACCUGAAACCGUGUACGUACAAGCAGUGGGAGCCUCUUUAUGGGGUGACUGCGUACCUUUUGUAUAAUGGGUCAGCGACUUAUAUUCUGUAGCAAGGUUAACCGAAUAGGGGAGCCGAAGGGAAACCGAGUCUUAACUGGGCGUUAAGUUGCAGGGUAUAGACCCGAAACCCGGUGAUCUAGCCAUGGGCAGGUUGAAGGUUGGGUAACACUAACUGGAGGACCGAACCGACUAAUGUUGAAAAAUUAGCGGAUGACUUGUGGCUGGGGGUGAAAGGCCAAUCAAACCGGGAGAUAGCUGGUUCUCCCCGAAAGCUAUUUAGGUAGCGCCUCGUGAAUUCAUCUCCGGGGGUAGAGCACUGUUUCGGCAAGGGGGUCAUCCCGACUUACCAACCCGAUGCAAACUGCGAAUACCGGAGAAUGUUAUCACGGGAGACACACGGCGGGUGCUAACGUCCGUCGUGAAGAGGGAAACAACCCAGACCGCCAGCUAAGGUCCCAAAGUCAUGGUUAAGUGGGAAACGAUGUGGGAAGGCCCAGACAGCCAGGAUGUUGGCUUAGAAGCAGCCAUCAUUUAAAGAAAGCGUAAUAGCUCACUGGUCGAGUCGGCCUGCGCGGAAGAUGUAACGGGGCUAAACCAUGCACCGAAGCUGCGGCAGCGACGCUUAUGCGUUGUUGGGUAGGGGAGCGUUCUGUAAGCCUGUGAAGGUGUGCUGUGAGGCAUGCUGGAGGUAUCAGAAGUGCGAAUGCUGACAUAAGUAACGAUAAAGCGGGUGAAAAGCCCGCUCGCCGGAAGACCAAGGGUUCCUGUCCAACGUUAAUCGGGGCAGGGUGAGUCGACCCCUAAGGCGAGGCCGAAAGGCGUAGUCGAUGGGAAACAGGUUAAUAUUCCUGUACUUGGUGUUACUGCGAAGGGGGGACGGAGAAGGCUAUGUUGGCCGGGCGACGGUUGUCCCGGUUUAAGCGUGUAGGCUGGUUUUCCAGGCAAAUCCGGAAAAUCAAGGCUGAGGCGUGAUGACGAGGCACUACGGUGCUGAAGCAACAAAUGCCCUGCUUCCAGGAAAAGCCUCUAAGCAUCAGGUAACAUCAAAUCGUACCCCAAACCGACACAGGUGGUCAGGUAGAGAAUACCAAGGCGCUUGAGAGAACUCGGGUGAAGGAACUAGGCAAAAUGGUGCCGUAACUUCGGGAGAAGGCACGCUGAUAUGUAGGUGAAGCGACUUGCUCGUGGAGCUGAAAUCAGUCGAAGAUACCAGCUGGCUGCAACUGUUUAUUAAAAACACAGCACUGUGCAAACACGAAAGUGGACGUAUACGGUGUGACGCCUGCCCGGUGCCGGAAGGUUAAUUGAUGGGGUUAGCGGUAACGCGAAGCUCUUGAUCGAAGCCCCGGUAAACGGCGGCCGUAACUAUAACGGUCCUAAGGUAGCGAAAUUCCUUGUCGGGUAAGUUCCGACCUGCACGAAUGGCGUAAUGAUGGCCAGGCUGUCUCCACCCGAGACUCAGUGAAAUUGAACUCGCUGUGAAGAUGCAGUGUACCCGCGGCAAGACGGAAAGACCCCGUGAACCUUUACUAUAGCUUGACACUGAACAUUGAGCCUUGAUGUGUAGGAUAGGUGGGAGGCUUUGAAGUGUGGACGCCAGUCUGCAUGGAGCCGACCUUGAAAUACCACCCUUUAAUGUUUGAUGUUCUAACGUUGGCCCCUUAUCGGGGUUGCGGACAGUGUCUGGUGGGUAGUUUGACUGGGGCGGUCUCCUCCUAAAGAGUAACGGAGGAGCACGAAGGUUGGCUAAUCCUGGUCGGACAUCAGGAGGUUAGUGCAAUGGCAUAAGCCAGCUUGACUGCGAGCGUGACGGCGCGAGCAGGUGCGAAAGCAGGUCAUAGUGAUCCGGUGGUUCUGAAUGGAAGGGCCAUCGCUCAACGGAUAAAAGGUACUCCGGGGAUAACAGGCUGAUACCGCCCAAGAGUUCAUAUCGACGGCGGUGUUUGGCACCUCGAUGUCGGCUCAUCACAUCCUGGGGCUGAAGUAGGUCCCAAGGGUAUGGCUGUUCGCCAUUUAAAGUGGUACGCGAGCUGGGUUUAGAACGUCGUGAGACAGUUCGGUCCCUAUCUGCCGUGGGCGCUGGAGAACUGAGGGGGGCUGCUCCUAGUACGAGAGGACCGGAGUGGACGCAUCACUGGUGUUCGGGUUGUCAUGCCAAUGGCACUGCCCGGUAGCUAAAUGCGGAAGAGAUAAGUGCUGAAAGCAUCUAAGCACGAAACUUGCCCCGAGAUGAGUUCUCCCUGACCCUUUAAGGGUCCUGAAGGAACGUUGAAGACGACGACGUUGAUAGGCCGGGUGUGUAAGCGCAGCGAUGCGUUGAGCUAACCGGUACUAAUGAACCGUGAGGCUUAACCUU